CCGAACCGACUAAUGUUGAAAAAUUAGCGGAUGACCUGUGGCUGGGGGUGAAAGGCCAAUCAAACCGGGAGAUAGCUGGUUCUCCCCGAAAGCUAUUUAGGUAGCGCCUCGUGAAUUCAUCUCCGGGGGUAGAGCACUGUUUCGGCUAGGGGGCCAUCCCGGCUUACCAACCCGAUGCAAACUGCGAAUACCGGAGAAUGUUAUCACGGGAGACACACGGCGGGUGCUAACGUCCGUCGUGAAGAGGGAAACAACCCAGACCGCCAGCUAAGGUCCCAAAGUCAUGGUUAAGUGGGAAACGAUGUGGGAAGGCCCAGACAGCCAGGAUGUUGGCUUAGAAGCAGCCAUCAUUUAAAGAAAGCGUAAUAGCUCACUGGUCGAGUCGGCCUGCGCGGAAGAUGUAACGGGGCUAAACCAUGCACCGAAGCUGCGGCAGCG
rnacentral:rRNA from 1 species